GAUGAACGCUGGCGGCGUGCCUAAUACAUGAAAGUCGAGCGAACAGACGAGGAGCUUGCUCCUCUGACGUUAGCGGCGGACGGGUGAGUAACACGUGGAUAACCUACCUAUAAGACUGGGAUAACUUCGGGAAACCGGAGCUAAUACCGGAUAAUAUAUUGAACCGCAUGGUUCAAUAGUGAAAGACGGUUUUGCUGUCACUUAUAGAUGGAUCCGCGCCGCAUUAGCUAGUUGGUAAGGUAACGGCUUACCAAGGCGACGAUGCGUAGCCGACCUGAGAGGGUGAUCGGCCACACUGGAACUGAGACACGGUCCAGACUCCUACGGGAGGCAGCAGUAGGGAAUCUUCCGCAAUGGGCGAAAGCCUGACGGAGCAACGCCGCGUGAGUGAUGAAGGUCUUCGGAUCGUAAAACUCUGUUAUUAGGGAAGAACAAAUGUGUAAGUAACUAUGCACGUCUUGACGGUACCUAAUCAGAAAGCCACGGCUAACUACGUG
rnacentral:rRNA from 1 species